rnacentral:rRNA from 1 species
GAUGAACGCUGGCGGCGUGCCUAAUACAUGCAAGUCGAGCGAACAGACGAGGAGCUUGCUCCUCUGACGUUAGCGGCGGACGGGUGAGUAACACGUGGAUAACCUACCUAUAAGACUGGGAUAACUUCGGGAAACCGGAGCUAAUACCGGAUAAUAUAUUGAACCGCAUGGUUCAAUAGUGAAAGACGGUUUUGCUGUCACUUAUAGAUUGAUCCGCGCCGCAUUAGCUAGUUGGUAAGGUAACGGCUUACCAAGGCAACGAUGCGUAGCCGACCUGAGAGGGGGAUCGGCCAAACUGGAACUGAGAAACGGUCAAGACACCUACGGGAGGCAGCAGUAGGGAAUCUUCCGCAAUGGGCGAAAGCCUGACGGAGCAACGCCGCGUGAGUGAUGAAGGUCUUCGGAUCGUAAAACUCUGUUAUUAGGGAAGAACAAAUGUGUAAGUAACUAUGCACGUCUUGACGGUACCUAAUCAGAAAGCCACGGCUAACUACGUG